rnacentral:rRNA from 1 species
AUGAACGCUGGCGGCGUGCCUAAUCCAUGCAAGUCGAGCGAACAGAUGAGGAGCUUGCUCCUCUGACGUUAGCGGCGGACGGGUGAGUAACACGUGGAUAACCUACCUAUAAGACUGGGAUAACUUCGGGAAACCGGAGCUAAUACCGGAUAAUAUAUUGAACCGCAUGGUUCAAUAGUGAAAGACGGUUUUGCUGUCACUUAUAGAUGGAUCCGCGCCGCAUUAGCUAGUUGGUAAGGUAACGGCUUACCAAGGCAACGAUGCGUAGCCGACCUGAGAGGGUGAUCGGCCACACUGGAACUGAGACACGGUCCAGACUCCUACGGGAGGCAGCAGUAGGGAAUCUUCCGCAAUGGGCGAAAGCUUGACGGAGCAACGCCGCGUGAGUGAUGAAGGUCUUCGGAUCGUAAAACUCUGUUAUUAGGGAAGAACAAAUGUGUAAGUAACUAUGCACGUCUUGACGGUACCUAAUCAGAAAGCCACGGCUAACUACGUG